ACAGAAUGAACUUUACAAGGAAGUUAGAAGAUUACACACAGAGAAGGAAUAUCUAUAAGAAACAUACAACAUUCCAACAUUAUAUUUUUAUUUAAUAUUUUUAAAAAGUGACUAUAGAUUUUUAUUUUUUGUGGAAGACUUCAGUGAGACUUAAAAAAGCACUAUCCCCUAUGGCAAAAUGUAGACUGGUUGAAAUGCAAGAUAAAGAGUGGUGGCAGAGAACAAUCAUCAUCUUUGAGAAAGGAUUAUUACAGAUGACAAUGUGGCUUGCACUAGACAAUCAGCUGGUUUCAUAGCCACAACAUCCAACUACCCGGAAAAUGGUUUUUCAGCAUCUCAACAUCAGAUUCUAAAACAUGAUAGCCAUUUUCACUCCUCAGAAAAUCUCAUUCAAUCAAUGAAAAAUCAUAGAAAUUAGUUCCACCUAUAUUGUUGCUGAAGAUUGAUUUUCUUACUAUAUAUCCAGGUUCCAAGUUUUGCGGAUUUCUCCAGUUUCUAGAGUCUAAUAGAAUGGUGCAGUGUAUCUUCUACAGCAACUGGAAAACUGAUUCAGCUGAAAAAUCCCAAUCUACCCUGUGAAUCUGGAGAAACUAUGAGAAAACCAGAAUCAAAUGGCCCACUUCUCCCCUCCAGAAUUUAAUGCAUUUACCUAAAAAUCUCAGACAUAUUGAGCACAGAGUGCUUCAAAUGAAAUAGAACAAGAUAUUUCUUUUCAUUGACUCUUCCUGUAGGUUCUUAUGGAUUUUAGCAAACUGAAAAUUUACCAAGUUGUAAACAUUAUAUUUUUUUAAUAUCAAAUCAUUGAAAAUAGAAAAACAUGUUGCCAUUAUUUAAAAUGAAACAAAUAGCAAUACAUUUGUGAAAAAUUAAGAAUACAUUUGAAUUCCAGACUGCUGUCCUGUUUCUAUAAAUCCAUGGGAUUAUACAGAUUGUAUAAAUUGUAGUUGUCCAGAUUUCAGAUACAUCUUUUUUGGAUAAUCUGUAUAUCACCAUGAAAUAUGCCUGAAAUGGAAUCAAAUGAGAUUAUAUACUUUAUUCCCUGGCCAUUUUAAGCCAUGUCUCCCUUCAGCACAUCUAUAUCCCAAGUAGUGAAUCUUAAACUUUUAAAAGCUUCAGAAUUUAAUUUAAAUCAUUGGCAUUUUGGAACAUAAAUCUGGUUUUGCUAGUUUUGCUAGUUCUGUAUAAUCAUCAGAACUGUGAUGAAAGUCAAACUGGCUUAGAAAUUGCAGAGUUGUCUAACUCUUUUAUGGGUCAAAAGAGGGCUUGUAACUGCAAAGCUAGAAGCAAAAGAACUUGUCCCUAAAUGGAACAAAAUUAUUAUUUCAUGAAGCUCACAAAUAGUUUUUUUUUUUUUUUUGAAGUUCACAUAUAAACUGAUCUAAUUUUAAUGUUAUAACAUGCUAUUCUUGCAUAUUUGUUUAGAAGCUCUGGAACUUGUAAUUCAGGGUUUGUUUUACUAUUACAGUUUAUAAGAACUUCUUGAUGGAUUAAAAUAGAUAGCUAAGUAAACUCAGAUACGUAAAAUGCAAACUUGAAUUUUCAAGCAGUUACUUAACAUCCUGGAAUCAGAUCAGCAAAGUAGACAUUUCCGUCAUACCCAUUGUUAAAAAUACAACUCCAUGAAAGUUGAAAUAUAAUAAAAGUGCCCUAUGCUUGAAGGCUCUGCUCCAAGUAAGUACAUGAGUCUACUUUAUCCCCGUGUAUAUUUUGGAAAAAUGACUGCUAUAUAGAGAUCUAUUUCAGGGGUGAAAUGCUCCCAGAUCGGACUGGAUCAGUAGCGAUCCGGUAGCGAUCUUGCUGGUGGUUCGGUGAACUGGUAGUGACGGCAGAGCAUAGCUCCGCCCCCCCUGGCGGAGUCAUUACUUCCUGGCUUUAACUAGGAAGUAAUGUGCUUUUU